UCAGAACGAACGCUGGCGGCGCGUUUUAAGCAUGCAAGUCGAGCGGUAGAGUGGUUUUCGGACUGCUUGAGAGUGGCGAACGGGUGAGUAACACGUAGGUGAUCUACCUUGGGGUUGGGGAUAGCCCAUGGAAACAUGGGGUAAUACCCGCUAUUUCCUAUAUACUGUGGUGUAUAGGGAAAAGGCGCUUAGGCGCCGCCCUGGGAUGAGCCUGCGUUCCAUUAGUUAGUUGGUGAGGUAAGAGCUCACCAAGGCGACGAUGGAUAGGCGGCCUGAGAGGGUGACCGCCCACACUGGGACUGAGACACGGCCCAGACUCCUACGGGAGGCAGCAGCUAAGAAUCUUCCGCAAUGGGCGCAAGCCUGACGGAGCGACGCCGCGUGGACGAAGAAGGCCGUGAGGUUGUAAAGUCCUUUUUUUGUUGAAGAAUAAUGGUGGUAGGGAAUGACCAUCAGAUGACGUUAUGCGAAGAAUAAGCCCCGGCUAAUUACGUGCCAGCAGCCGCGGUAACACGUAAGGGGCGAGCGUUGUUCGGAAUUAUUGGGCGUAAAGGGCGCGUAGGCGGUUAAGCAAGCCUGGUGUGAAAUACUCCAGCCUAACUGGAGGGGUGCGCUGGGAACUGUUUAACUUGAGUUCAGGAAGGGAAGCUGGAAUUCCAGGUGUAGGGGUGAAAUCUGUAGAUAUCUGGAAGAACACCGGAGGCGAAGGCGAGCUUCUAGCCAUGGACUGACGCUGAGGCGCGAAAGCGUGGGGAGCGAACAGGGUUAGAUACCCUGGUAGUCCACGCUGUAAACGAUGUGCACUGGGUGUUGGGACGAGAAGUCUCAGUGCCGUAGCAAACGCGAUAAGUGCACCGNCUGGGGAGUAUGCCCGCAAGGGUGAAACUCANAGGACUUGACGGGGGCCCGCACAAGCGGUGGAGCAUGUGGUUUACUUCGAUGAUAC
rnacentral:rRNA from 1 species